rnacentral:lncRNA from 1 species
GAUGCUGAAAUCACUGCACCUUAAAAACAAAAAGAUUAAGCUGCACUGCGUUCCUCAGUGGUUGGCAGUUUUCCUCAACUUUGCAAGAGAGAGAGAAUUGGUUGGAAUGAAACCUUGCUCUCCAUACAGUCCGCUUGAGAUGCAGCAUUGAAAGGUUACAGGAUUUCCUUUAUCUUGAUGGACCAAAAUGAUUCUCAGUUUGAUGAUGUUGGUCUGCUGGAAACAAGAGAGGAGGAGGAGGAGGAGGGAAGAACUUUAGAAUGAUAUUGUUGUUACUGCUGUGUUCAAAACCUAUUAUUUGCUGGAGUUUUCAGAAGUUUUUGAUUUGUUUUCCUUCUCUCUCUCUGACCUAAUUAAUUUUAUGGGACCUCCCCAUGGACAUAAUUUAUAUGACAAAUGAAUUACAUUAAAAGUUGCUGUCAUGGUAAGAAACCCCUAGUUUAUGGUAAAUCUAAUGUGUUUCCACAUUCUUUCCCUCUGUAAAUAGUGAUCUACUAGAGAUAAUUUGUUUUCUUUAUUUUUCAGAUAACUUUGGGUGUGUAGUGACUUUACUAUCAGUAUUAAAAAAAUAAAAAACAUAAAUAAAAAAGGAGAAACA